rnacentral:lncRNA from 1 species
GAGCCUCUUCACUGUGAAUUCAUCCAAACCCAGGUUGAAGAGAAUGUUAUUGUGGCCUGCACAGCUUCCUGUGGGAACGGAUUCCAGAAGCAAGAAAAUCCAGACUGUUUGCCUUUUUUUUUGAAUGUUACUGGCUGUGGCAGAAUAAAGAUGGCAAUCAAAAGUGGAAUCAGAAGAGAAAAUUAGCUUGAACAAGCGCCCGGUACUCCCUGCUGCCCUCCCCGCUCAGGUGACCAUGGAACCACAAGUAGACUGUCCUUGAACCCUAGUCUGGAUUGAGCGGAAGGGAGAGAGAACUGAGCAUCUUGCCAUGUCGCUGGCUCUGGGAGAUCCCCUUUCUGGCGAGAUAGGCCCCACCCUGGGUCCCGAGUUUGAAAUCUGGCUGGUUGAACC